GUUGCAGGGUAAUCAGCUCCAGCUUCUUUCCUUGAAUAUGUCUCUCCCUGGAAGUGAAAUUCCAGAUUGGUUCAGCCAUCAGUGCAUGGGGUCUUCGGUAACUAUGCAGCUACCGCUGAAUUCAUACCAUAAUAAGGUAUUGGGGUUUGCUAUAUGCACUGUUAGUAAGUUCAGGGGUGCUCAUUAUUGUGCAUCUGAUCUCUCUGUUCGAUGUUUUUGCACCUUCAAAGGAGAUCAUAGUGAUUUCAAUUACAAUUUCUAUAUGGUUGAUUGGGGAUCCAGAGUCAGAUUCCUUGACUCAGAUCACAUCUUUCUGGGAUAUGUUCCAUGGUCUAAAUGUACCUUGAUUGAAACUGGAAAGCUGCCCAGUAAACAUUGUUACACUGAGGCUACAUUCAAAAUUGUAGUAAAAGAAAAUGGAGUCUAUGCGAGCAAUUUCAGGGGCUGCAGUACGAUACCCUUCUAUUGGAAGGGUCGGACUUCAUUUCAUUUAUGCCAAUCAUGAGACAGACAGCAGUUGCUAACUAUGCUUAGAUGAGCAGCCAGGGUUGCUGCUAUAAUGAGGCUGGAUGGUCAAGCGAAGGAAUGCUUCUUGUAAGCAAGGGGUGCAAUAUCCUUAAAGGAAUUCAAAACAUUACUAAUCUGAAAAUGACAGUGGUGAAAUGCCUUCACUGGGAAUUGUUGAUGACCCGGAAUGGUGGUGGUGCAACCCUGCAGAUUGGUUUUCUCUUCAGCUCACAUUAACAAUGUCAAGAAAAGAAGUUGUUUGGUUGAAAAACCUUCUAGUUGCUUGAUGAAGGGGAAAACAAUUGUAUUUGUUGGAGUUGGGAACAUCUUCCUAUAGACUUAAUCGUUUAAUGCUUUGCCUUGAUUGGUUUAAUACAAGCUUGUAAUAUCUUCUGUUCUCUACUUUGCCCUCAUAUAAGUUUCAAAGAAAAGUAGGAACGCUUUUGAUUCCGAGAAUAAAAGGUACCUACUUUUGCUGUGAAAAUUUGUUGUCUCUGGCCUGAAAUUCUUGACUUGUGUGACUUCAAUCUGCUGGAGGUAUCUGAUGGUAUUGCCCGUUGGAAAUAUUAAAGCUUUGAAGAAACUUUUUUGAGACCUUACAUGAGACACUGACAACUCUCAAUUUUUUUGCUGGGAAUAAUGUGAUCUGUGACCAUGUGAUUAAUCCUAACGCGCAGAAGGGACUGGUGGUGAAAUAUGGAGGAGUAGGAGUAGGUAUGAUUUUGGCAAACACAGUUGUGUCGCAUUAGAUUUUUUUGCUGGGAAUAAUGUGAUCUGUGACCAUGGAGGAGUAGGAGUAGGAGGAGGUGCAAAACCGAAGCAUGGCGCAGCCCUAAAUAUCAUCAUGAAAACUAUGAAGCGGAACUUCGUGUUCUUGGCAAAUCACAGUCAGUGGCGGGGUUUCACUCUACAGAGGAAAAAGGAUGCUGUCAACAAAUAAGCAAAAUAUACCGGUAGCGUGUAUACUGGUAGUUCACCAACCCCUGACCGGCUGUUCCCACUUCCUUGUUUUGGAAGCAACUUUAAAUUGCUGCAUUGUUGCUGCUGUAGGAUUGUGAUUUGUGACCGUGGGAUGGGAUUUGUCCGAGAGCGCAGAAGGGACGGGUGGUGACAGAUGCUGGGGAGUAGGUAUGAUCUUGGCAAACACAACCUGCAAAUGGAGAGGAGGUUGUUGCAGAUUCCCAACUGGUUCCUGCUUUUGACACUCCACAGAACUGUCACUAACGUUGGCCCUCUGGUUUUGAACUACCACGCCAUUGUUUCACCGUUCAAAGGUGCUUAUAUGAAAGUUGAGGCCUCGGACGCUGAAUGUCACCAAAGCCAAUCAGAAGCUGUCUUAUAAAAUCUCAUUCACUUCAAAAUUCCAGCAGGCAGUCCCCCGGUCGGAGGGUUGGUGUGGAAGGAUGGAGUGUAGAGGGUGAGAAGCCCUAUUGUUGUACUCCGGCUGCCACCGCCAUAAAUCGUGCACUGGAUUUUUUUUUUUUUUUUUUUUUUUUUGGCGCGAAUUAAUUUCAAUGUGUGUUUUCAUUAAUGUUUUUGAUUAAACAGAUUUUCUGUAAUAGUUAGCCUUUUUCCUUGCUUCUUGCCAUGAUCUUCUAGCUGUUGUCAACCUUACAACACAAGCGAAACAAGAAAGUGUAGUGAAAACGUAGAUUAUGCAAGUUCAAAUCUAGGCAAAUUUUUUUGUAAUUUCAUAAGCAAUUUGUGGAGUUCUAGUAGUUUUGUAGCUAACAACAUAUAUAUCAAAGAUCUCAGAGUAGUAGCGUUAUUACCGUGACAUCAGAUUAGAUGCCAAACAACCAUUAAUCGCCUGCUUUCUGCCUACUAUGCCGAUCCGGAG